AACUUGUUCAUGAUCAUCAAUUCAUCACAUUGUUUAUCAGCACUCCAGAGUAUAUAUCACUAUUCUACUAAGCAUGAAUUUCCUUUUCUUUUCAUCAUCAGUAUGGUUGAGCUUUAAUAUCGUUUCAACUAUUCAAAAUAUUUCAGUUUGGAUAUGUUUUUGGAGGAUUACUGAAAUUCCCACUUUGGAAUAGUGGCUUUAUUAAGUGGCUGAAGUAAGCUUGCAUAUCCAUCUGUAUUAUAAGGGACAAUGUUGUUUUUCCAUAUCCAUGGUUCUGGGACAUAUAAAAGGCGUUGCAGAUUGAUCAUAAUUCUUAGAUCGGAGAAUACGAGAGAUUUACAUUUUGGCAAUAUAAAGGACGGUCACGAUUAAGCCACCAAAUAACUCUCAACUAUUUCGCUCGAUUCAAGAAAAAAACCAAACGCAUGUCUGCAACCAUUCCUCCGCUUUUCUCUCGCCAUUAACUCAAUGCAAUUCUCUCGCCAUUAACUCUACCCAAUGAACAUUUUGAUUCCUUUUUGAUGAACUCAUUUGCUAGGGUUACAGUAGGAAAUUUAUUUCUACCUACCACUCCAGUUCCUUCAAUCUCUGUAUGCCAAAAUUAGGGUUCUUGAUUGAUCUUCCGUUAAAGAAAGUAAAAAACCCUCAUUCCAUGGUAUUAACAUUCACGUGAUCUGAGGUAUGUAACUCAUUCAAAAAAUUUUGCAACUGUUUAUCAGAUACGAUAGAAUGGAUAAACUAUUAAACAAGGUCUAUCUCUCUUUCUCUUUAAUACCCUGUUUUUGUGUUUAAUGGUCAAAUUAGGAAGUGGGUUUUGAUGAUGGGUUUGUUUCUGAUUGUGGGUUCAUUUGAUUUUCGAUUUAUUAUUAUUUUAUUCCCAGGAAUUUCACAAAUUGUAUAUGAAACUCAUAAUCAGUUAGUGGUUUUCUUGAUAAAUCUGAUCCUGGAUUUCAACAUGUGCACAAUACUAAGAAAACUGUGUUGAUCGCAAUGAGUUGCAGGGUCUGAUUGAUGAAGUUUCUUUAGUAACUUUAAUUCUUGAGAAAUCAUUUAAUUUUUUAUCUAGUUUUUUUAAACAUAGGGCAUUGUUCAAAUGGUAAGAUCUGGUGUACAGUUUCUUAGUGCUCUAGAGACAGAUCCAACAUUUACAGUGCAUGUUGUACCUUUUGAGCCAAAACACUCUCAAAAUGGGUAUCUGAAACAGAAAUUAAGGUGACAUUUUUGCUCCAAAUAAUUGGUAAUUCCCCUUGCUUCCUAGUGCUAGAGUAACCGGUGGAGCUCCAAACGAGCUCUCUAAUUUGUUUUCCUUAAGCAACAAUGUGUAUUUUUGUUUGUUGGUUGUUCAAGAACGUGAAGAAAUCAAACAUAGAAAUGGGUAAAGAAGAUUUCCACUGAAGAAUUUAAAUUCUCCAUAUUCCUCUCUGAAUUAUAAGGAUUUUUGUGAUGGUAUAUUCUUCUCUGCAUUUCAGUUAAUCACAAGGUUGAAUUGUUGUGCCCUGACGAAACAUAAGAAAUUUUUCUGCUUUUUGGCAUUAUUAAUAAAUCUCUACUUCAGUGAAGGUAUAUGUAUUCUCCUUCAUUGGAUCAUAAAAAUGGGUUCUUUGUGGUGCCAACCAGGUUUAUUGAGUGUGAUAUUAUGAACUGUUUCUGUUUCGGUUCCGUUAUAGAUUUUAGUAGCAGCAAUUGUAUCGGCUAUAAUUGGGAAUUUUCGAAAACUUUUACUUCAGUUCUAAUUUUCAAUGAUGAGAAGUUCAAUUUCAAGGAUUUUUGUGGUCCAAUGGAGUUCCUUCUACACAUUCCUUUGAUCGCGGAUCAAUAAGUGCACGAAAACUCUGGAAGAGAUUAGGGAUUUUAACGGCAGGAGGAGUUACCCUAUUCUUGGUGGAAGAACAUGAGGCAGGUUGAUUGUCUUGCUGGUGGCUCAAACACAGGCUAGAUCCUAUGGAAAAGUUAGACCUGAGUAUAAUUCUGCUAAAAAUCUUUCUUUUUUGGGUGUUUCGGUGAUGCAUGAUUUUACAAUUUGUACAUGAAACCAGCCUAUAAUUAAAGAACGGAGGGAGUAGUUUAUAGUAGGGUUCACUGUUAGCAUCUGAGGUAAUGUAACUCAUCUAAUUCAUGAAAUUUUGGUAGGAGAAACUGGAACCUUUUUGGCUUGAA